AUGGGACGAAUUAAUGUUAAUCCCAUUCGGGGUAGAAUCUGGAAAUUAUCUUGUCCGUCAAAAGGUAAAAAUUUUGUGUGGCGUACGUUGCAUGGAACUCUUCCAUGCUGCGUUAUGCUUGCUAAUAGACACAUGAAAGUUCUGCCCUUCUGCCCAUAUUAUUCAAACGGGCCAGAAGACACAAAGCAUGUGUUGUUCCUAUGCCAGAAAGCAAGGGAGGUUUGGAAUAAGCUGGGAUUGUAUGAGGUGAUUAAGAAAGCCUGCGCUAUUGAUCGUGCGGGAGAGGCAGUUCUUGAAUAUCUGCUUCUCUUAAAGGAUCCCGUUUUACUGGGACUCCACAAUGCUCGUGAAGUGAUUUCCAUCACUGCUUGGUACUUAUGGUGGGAUAGACUUAAAUUGGUACAUGAAGGAAAGCCUCAACAUGUUGACCAUACGUCUAUGGGGGUUCGUGUUAUAGCGGCGAAUUUUGUUAAUGCCCAUGCCCCUAAUGUUUAG
rnacentral:rRNA from 1 species